CGGCUAUGAGGACAAUUACACUAUAAUGACUUCAUGUGAUUAUUUUGUCGCUAUUCUGAGCCCUGU